rnacentral:lncRNA from 1 species
AACGGUAGUGAGAUAUCACAUCCGGCGGUCAGUAGUUCGACGCUAGUGAACGUUACGGUGCCCCUCCGUCCAAGUUAUUUACACAAGGAAAUGAAGAGUGUAAAGCACGUUUCAUUGGUUAUAUUUCAAUGAUAUCUUAAUGAGCAAAGGGUGGCACAGGUAAAAUCAUGGCCACGACCCCUAAAAGUCGGUGAAAUGAGUUGUCCUAGACACAAAGACAAUACUUGUCUGACCUUUACGAUCGAAAUAGAAAUCGAGGAGGAUGGCAGCGGUGGUAAUGAAGCCAUGACAUCGUUUUCAACAAAGGAAGAAGGAAAGAAUAAAAAUAAAGACAAAAGAAAAAUUAUUUUGUCCGGGAAAACGGUGUCGCCAUCAAUAACAAGGUUAUAACAUGGACGAACCGUACACCGCAGAGUUCGAGAGUUAUUAUAGCGCGAUGGUCACUCUUGUCGUCAUGAACAUUCUCGUGUAUUCCUCCGCCGCCGCCGUGCAUUGCAUGGGUCGACAGGAUCUUCCCUCCUUCCGGACGUUCACUCCCCACUAUCUCAUUCCCUCCCAGUCUCCUCGUGCGCCUCCGUUUCCAUCCCUUCCUCCUCCGGUCCUCCCUCACGAGGUCCAGCUCCAACAGAACCCCCGCGCGAAUGUCGUGCGGUGGGACUCCAUCAACUCGCUCUACAUCAGCGCUGCCGGUUGGGAGGACGAGGAGCACGUCUACGAUGAGUGGAAUGACGGUGUGACUGAUACAUCCUGUUAGCAUACAGUCAACUUGCUGCAUUCAGAGGAGCUUCCUUGACAUUGGCCUUCACAUUAGCAACCUUGAAGUUGUUCUCAAGACAAGUAUAUUUACCACAAGUAAAUUUAUUUGUAUCUUUAUCAUUGCAUCAUAAUGAGGUGUAUCCAAGUAUUAAUCCACUAUGUUCUGAAGGAUUUCAUUUUCAUCCACUGUCCUCACACCCCUGUAAUUGUUUGUUUUUUUCAGGAGGACCGUCAAGGACCUUUUUGAUAAUGGAGUUUUGAAAUGACUGAUUUUUAUUUGUGCACUUAACAUAAACAUUCUCUAGAGAUGUUACAAGAAGAGACCGCUCACGUCUGCCAUGGACUAGUUUUCAGUUUAGAGUUCAUCUUCAAUUGGUCAUGGAGGAGAAGGGGUGGCCAGGAUUUCAGUCCAUGCUGAGCUGUGACCCCAAACCCUGGGCCUGAGUCCAUUAUCCUGAAAUGACCAAAAUCCCCUAACUAUUGAGAUCACAUCAAUAUUAGUGUAACCCUGUAGGCUGGCCGGUACCAAAAAUGGAAUGGGUUAAAACCUCCUUACCUAGGCCAAGGACGGCAUUUUGUUGCCCACCAACCAUGCGAAUGUAGGAAUCCACAAAAAAACCAAGGCAGGCUCAGAGAAUUACAAUAAAAAGAUAAAUAACUUUAUUAAAACAUAGAGGUAUAACUUUGCAAAAGCUACCCUGUAGGUCUGAAGUGGAACACUGGCUGAACUACUGAACCUCGUUCUACGUGCAGGCAAAACAGUAAAAGCAUAGGUGUGUAAAGAGAAACUUUCAAUGUUAACUAAUUAAGGUUGACUGAUACAACGGGCCAAAGACUCCAGGAUAGCUCAAGCGACACUUGGAAUGUUGUUGCGGUGUUUUACCAUAUCUUCGAGUUUAUCAAAGGCUCAGUCAUGAAUUCCGAUGCCUUUCGGUGGCUCUAAGAGUUUUACAGGCUCUUUAUCACCCAUGGACGUUGUAGCUGUGUUUACUGAUGGGACAACCAGUGUGAGCAUCCCCUUUUCCUCACAUGCUGUUUC